AUUCAAACUAGAGGACUCCAUAUAUAGUGCUUCUCCAUCGGGAAGUAUGGUAUAGUAUAUGUUUUCCAUUAAUUACCUAGACUGUGGUAGCCUGGUAUGGUCUAAUUUGUCCCGACGCAGUUUUAUAAUAAACUAAAAAAUACUUGUAACAUAAAAGGUCUCUGUUUUGCCCCAUUGCUCUGGUAAAGCACCCUCCCCCUUGUCAGUCAGUCUGCUCCCCUGCUGUAUACGCGCAUGCUUACUUACACACUGGAACCACCUGGCUGCAUCCGAGACACCAAGUCAUUUUAAAGGCACAGCAUCACUUGAUGUCAAAACAGACCUUUAUACAGGCAGCAUGGAGAGCACCUGGUUGCCUGCAUGAGGGUCUCCAUCAAUGGGCCAAGCCCAGAAGAAUUCAACUAUAAAAUUUAAUGUCCAAAUUCAGUGUGCAAGCUGGCCAAAUGUUUAUUUUAUUUUAUUUUAAUUUAUUUUAAUAAACCAGUUAAACAAUCA